rnacentral:misc_RNA from 1 species
AGCAGCCGCGGUAAUUCCAGCUCCAAUAGCGUAUAUUAAAGUUGUUGCAGUUAAAAAGCUCGUAGUUGAAUUUCGGGACCAAUUUGUUGGUCGUGCCUCGGUACGUACUGGUAUUAUUGGUUUCUCCCUUCUGAAGAACCUCGAUGCCAUUAAUUUGGUGUCGUGGGGAAUCAGGACUGUUACUUUGAAAAAUUAGAGUGUUUAAAGCAAGCAUACGCUUGAAUACAUUAGCAUGGAAUAAUGAAAUAGGACGUUUGAUUCUAUUUUGUUGGUUUCUAGGAUCGACGUAAUGAUUAAUAGGGAUAGUUGGGGGCAUUAGUAUUCAAUUGUCAGAGGUGAAAUUCUUGGAUUUAUUGAAGACUAA